GACGAACGCUGGCGGCGUGCUUAACACAUGCAAGUCGAACGGAAAGGCCCUGCUUUUGUGGGGUGCUCGAGUGGCGAACGGGUGAGUAACACGUGAGUAACCUGCCCUUGACUUUGGGAUAACUUCAGGAAACUGGGGCUAAUACCGGAUAGGAGCUCCUGCUGCAUGGUGGGGGUUGGAAAGUUUCGGCGGUUGGGGAUGGACUCGCGGCUUAUCAGCUUGUUGGUGGGGUAGUGGCUUACCAAGGCUUUGACGGGUAGCCGGCCUGAGAGGGUGACCGGCCACAUUGGGACUGAGAUACGGCCCAGACUCCUACGGGAGGCAGCAGUGGGGAAUAUUGCACAAUGGGCGGAAGCCUGAUGCAGCAACGCCGCGUGCGGGAUGACGGCCUUCGGGUUGUAAACCGCUUUCGCCUGUGACGAAGCGUGAGUGACGGUAAUGGGUAAAGAAGCACCGGCUAACUACGUGCCAGCAGCCGCGGUGAUACGUAGGGUGCGAGCGUUGUCCGGAUUUAUUGGGCGUAAAGGGCUCGUAGGUGGUUGAUCGCGUCGGAAGUGUAAUCUUGGGGCUUAACCCUGAGCGUGCUUUCGAUACGGGUUGACUUGAGGAAGGUAGGGGAGAAUGGAAUUCCUGGUGGAGCGGUGGAAUGCGCAGAUAUCAGGAGGAACACCAGUGGCGAAGGCGGUUCUCUGGGCCUUUCCUGACGCUGAGGAGCGAAAGCGUGGGGAGCGAACAGGCUUAGAUACCCUGGUAGUCCACGCUGUAAACGGUGGGUACUAGGUGUGGGGCCCAUUCCACGGGUUCCGUGCCGUAGCUAACGCUUUAAGUACCCCGCCUGGGGAGUACGGCCGCAAGGCUAAAACUCAAAGGAAUUGACGGGGCCCCGCACAAGCGGCGGAGCAUGCGGAUUGAUUCGAUGCAACGCGUAGAACCUUACCUGGGUUUGACAUGGAUCGGGAGUGCUCAGAGAUGGGUGUGCCUCUUUUGGGGUCGGUUCACAGGUGGUGCAUGGCUGUCGUCAGCUCGUGUCGUGAGAUGUUGGGUUAAGUCCCGCAACGAGCGCAACCCUUGUUCACUGUUGCCAGCACGUUAUGGUGGGGACUCAGUGGAGACCGCCGGGGUCAACUCGGAGGAAGGUGGGGAUGACGUCAAGCCAUCAUGCCCCUUAUGUCCAGGGCUUCACGCAUGCUACAAUGGCUGGUACAGAGAGUGGCGAGCCUGUGAGGGUGAGCGAAUCUCGGAAAGCCGGUCUCAGUUCGGAUUGGGGUCUGCAACUCGACCUCAUGAAGUCGGAGUCGCUAGUAAUCGCAGAUCAGCAACGCUGCGGUGAAUACGUUCCCGGG
rnacentral:rRNA from 1 species